rnacentral:lncRNA from 12 species
AAAAACCCAAAAAAUGGAAAAAAAAACCAAAAAUGGGCCCGGGGGGGGUACCUGAACAAUGUUGAUUUUUGUGUUUUUUCCCGUUGAUUUUCGGUUUUUUCCCGUAGAUUUUCGGUUUUUUUCCAGGUGAUUUUUGGGUUUUUUCCCGUUGAUUUUCGGGUUUUUUUCCUGCUGAUUUUCGCUUUUUUUCCCGUUGAUUUUCGGGCUCCCCCGGGGCGCCACGGCCGCCCGGCCCAGGCUGAUUUUGGGGUUCCCUUGCUGAUUUUUGAUGAUUUUUUUUCUCCAUUUCUGACGAUCUCCUGUCGAUUUUUGGGGUUUCCUCGCCGAUUUUCGGGUUUUCCUGCUAUUUUCAGUUUUUUUCCGGAUGGUUUUUGGCUGAUUUUGGGGUCUCCUCGCUGAUUUCUGGGGUUUUCCCGGAUGGUUUUUGGCUGAUUUUGGGGUUCCCUCGCUGAUUUCCGGGUUCUUCCCGGAUGAUUUUU